rnacentral:rRNA from 1 species
UCGAGGAUCUUCGGCAAUGUGCGAAAGCAUGACCGAGCGACGCCGCGUGUGCGACGAAGGCCUUCGGGUUGUAAAGCACUGUCGAGGGGGAGGAAAGCCGAAAGGUCUGACCUAUCCCUGGAGGAAGCACGGGCUAAGUUCGUGCCAGCAGCCGCGGUAAGACGAACCGUGCGAACGUUGUUCGGAAUCACUGGGCAUAAAGGGCGCGUAGGCGGGCCGAUAAGUCAGGGGUGAAAUCCUCCAGCUUAACUGGAGAACUGCCUUUGAUACUGACGGCCUCGAGUAAGGUAGGGGCAUGCGGAACUGAUGGUGGAGCGGUGAAAUGUGUUGAUAUCAUCAGGAACUCCGGUGGCGAAAGCGGCAUGCUGGACCUUUACUGACGCUGAGGCGCGAAAGCUAGGGGAGCAAACGGGAUUAGAUACCCGCGUAGUCCCUGAGCGGGCUGGCAAGGCGCAU